rnacentral:tRNA from 1 species
ACUUAUAUAGUAUAUUAAGUAUAUAUGACUUCCAAUCAUAAGGACUAAAUAAUUUAGUAUAAGUA